rnacentral:lncRNA from 1 species
CCUUUUUUUAUAUAUUUCAAAAAUUAUCACCAGAUUCAUGUUAUUUAAUUUACAUGCAAAUCAUCAAGUGCCUAUAAAAUCACAUAGCAUGUUUAAUCGAGAACAAAUAACUUUAUUGAAACUAUUAAAUCAUGCAAAACAUAAAACUCAAAUUUCAUAAUUUCAUAAUUUUGAUUUCUAGAAACGUUCCUUAAGAUGUUUAAGGAAAUAUUAAAUUCCUUACCAAAACCUUGAAGUUUUCUUACACUUUUCUUCUU